rnacentral:lncRNA from 10 species
GGCAGGAGUAUAAUUCUUUCAUUCAUUUACCUAUCAUUUGCUGAGUGUAUAUAGUGCAUGACAGGCCACAGGCCAGCCAGACGAGGUGGCCAAACAAAGAAAUAAUAAGACAUCGUCCGAGCCUCAAGGAUGUCACACCUAGCAGAAAUGUCCAUGUAUAAAAAUAAUCCUGGUACACUGUAACAGUGCGAGAGAACCUAGUAAUAUGAGAGCAUAGAGGGUAGUCAGAGAAAGCUUCACAGAAGACAAAACAUUUGGAGUGGGUCUGGAAGGAUGAGUAAGAGUUUACUAUUUGGGGUUAACUCCCGAAGUGGAAAACACCACCAUAUUGGAAGCCUUGGGGUACUCUCAAAGUCAGCAAAUUUAUAGCCUCAUGCAAGAUCUGAGUAGUAACAGCCAUUUUGCAUCUUGUUUUUUAUGGCUAAUAAGAGAAAAAGCAAAAACAGGGACCUAUAGGAGAUGGGAGAUGUGCCCUGGUGAUGCGGACAGGCCUGUCCCUUCCAUGGGAGGUAUCUUUGGAAAUCCCCCAUCUCCACGGUAAUACGAGCUGCCAGCCGGCAGAGGGUGAAUUAGCACUGGCACCAUCAGAUACAAGCUGGACACAGCUGAGUGCAGACAGGACACCACAUCAUCUGGGACAAGAGAGCAGACUGCUAUGACAGGUUGGUCUCAGGCCGACAGGACCCAGCCUGGGCCUGACCCACUGGUGAGUCACCCAGGACAGCCCCAGUUGACUCCUUGGACCCAACAGCAAAGGCAAAACAACCAGAGAGAGGAAGCCUGGAUGACUUGGUUACUGCCACCUGAUGCUCUUGCGUCUGUGCCACAGGUCAGAUUCCCGCAGGAGGCCAGCUCCUUAACAGCUUCCGGUUCCUCCUGGAGUAGUGUUCCUACUUACCACUAGCUGUGCACAGCUCUCUCGUCCAGGAUUUUAAAGCCUGCAGCAAUGUGAUAGGUUAAGCACUGGGAGGCACAGAUGUAUGAGGACUUGCCAUCUAGGAGUCAGAGAAUCAGCACAUAUCUUGUCAUGUCAUAGCUGAAGAGCUGCCACCUAGACCUGUUCCUGCUGCUUCACUCUGGUUUUCCCAUGGCCCAUAUGGAAGGGAACCAGGGUUGGGCUACCACCAUUUUGUGCUCCCAGAUUGGAGGAUGGGUGAGGCCUCUCCAUCCCAGCUUCCCUGGAUAACUUAAUUUAAGCUUAUGACACAUAUUCUCUGAAAGGCAAACCCAUGAGGUGUAUUCACAAAGAGGACAUCAAAUCCCACUUGGAGUCUUGUGUCAUUAAACCAUUACAGUCAGCCCUCCAUAUCCCUAGGUUCUGCAUCCAUGGAUUCAACCACCCAUGAAUAAAAAAUAUCCAGAAAAAAAAAGUUGAUGGUAGUGUCUGUGCUGAACAUGUUCAGACCUUUUUUGGUCAUUUUUCCCUAAACAAUACAGUAUAACAACUAUUUACAUAGCAUGUAGAUUGUAUUAGGUAUAUAUAAGUAAUCUAGAGGUGAUUUAAAGUAUAAAGGAGGAUGUGCAUAGGUUAUAUGCAAAUAGUAUGCCAUUUUAUAUAAGUUAUUUGAGCAUUUCCUCUAUGGGUUUUGGUAUCCAUGGAGGUCCUGGAACCAAUCCCCCACAGAUACCAAGGGACAAGUGUAUUUAGCAUUUUCAUACACCCUGUUUCAUCUGCAUAAGACCCUGACGAUUUCAAGAUACGCUAUCUUUUUACAUACCACUAAGAAAAACCAGCCAACUAGACUAUGGCAUGCCAUCUGCAGUAAGAUGGAUUCUGAUUUCAGAACUGUUAAAGGAUUUUUUGAAAAGUACUUUCUAGAAUCAACAAAAUCCAAAGGCUUUCUUCUCCAACUAGACUGUGAGUUCCUAGAGGGCAGAGAACAUACUUAUAAUUUUCUGUACUUUGCAGUGCCUAGCACAGUGUCAUACACAUAGAAAAUACACUGUAAAACACUCUAAUGAAUGAAAGAAAAGUGAAUAGUUAAUAUAA